AGGACUUUGAACGGAAGGAGGUUCUGAGAUCAGAGCCUUUCAUAAUUUGGUUAGAUAUCCAUAAGAUUUCUCUUUCACUGUGGAUAGAAUGGAGGACUCCAAUGCACUUGUAAACUUGCUUUUCACAGAGGAUUUUUUGUGCAAUGAGACCAGGCAUGAAGACUAAGGAGAAAACAAGUCAUAUCAAGCCUCAUUGCUCCCAGUUAUUUCUUAGAUUUUUGUGCAUCUCCUUCUCAGAGUCUUUAGCUCAAGCUAGUUACAGAAGGUUCAGCACAAACAGCGUACUUCUUCACGGAGCACACAGUUUCUGGAAUUUCUUGGCACUGGAUGUGGUGGUGAUCACUUCAAAUGGCUUGAAUAGAGGACUAGGUAAAUUAUUGUAGGGUAAGUCCACCACUGUCUACUAGUCAUGAUGGCCAAAUACACCAUCCACUUUGACAAGCAAUAAGCCACUGGAUACCAGCUGCUAUGGUGACCUGCAUGGGUGAUUCCGGCGGGGUUCUCACUGGCCACUGCAGGGAACGGAGGCUGGAUUAGGCAGCCUACUGCACUAAUAGACUGGUGCUCUUGCACUGCAUCAGGACAAUGUGGAUGUGCUAAACUCUAAUUUCCUUGUGGUUGCGGGGCUUUUUCUGCUAUACCAAUAUUACGCUGUGGUGUGCUAACACACAAACCUAUCUAGUAAACUUGGAGAACAGUUUACUAGAUGAAAUGGAUGUAUUUAUAUCAUCUGCCAAGAUAAUUAGAGUGCCCUGCAACUCACUAAAAGGUCAAGAAAUGAAACAUUUGUUAGCCUAUUUCAGUUGCAUUAGACUUCCAUACAAAUGUCCACAAUCAUUGUAAGAAAAGAGUGGGUGGAAAGUCCCUUGGAGAUAUUUCUAUGUGGAGGUGAACUAUCUAGUUUUUUAUUUGUUCUUUACAUUGCCAGCUUUAAAGUGACGAUACCUAGCAAUCCGGAUGAUAUGUGAUAUCAUCUCUUGGAUUUAUGCCAUCUGUGGGCAAACAUGGUAUGAAUCUUUUGAGGUGAUCUACACAACAAUGUGAGAAAGGUCUCGUGAUUUCUUUGACAAGCUCUGCUUAUAUGACAUCGCCAGCGGGAUAAACCAAACGGCCCUGGUUGAUUUGCUAAAGGUCAAUGGAAGACAUCUCACUCAACAAUCAAAAGGAAGGCGGACUGCAUCAGAUGGAAUGAUCCCAGUGAGAACAACUGUGUGGGCAGCAUGUCCUCACUAAUAAGAAAUAAGAAGAAGAAACUGUCACCAUUUGGCUAGGAUGAAGAUGAAAAAAAUCUUUUGAAGUUCAUGUCACUUUUCUGCUAGUCCAAAAGAAAUUACCUGAAUUCUUGAGGUGUGGAAGCCAUGGUUUUUACCCAUGAUGUUAAGCCAUGAUGUUAUCCCUGAUAUUUCAAUGGAUUGAUCAUUAGGGCAUUUCUACAGGCAAUGAUCUCUUGUGGUAGUGUUCAAGAGAAAAACACAUAGAUAUUCCAAACAAGCAAUAAAGAGAAAAUAAACAAACAUUCAACAGAAUGCUACACAGACAGACAUCACCAAUAAGACAGACAGCACAAAACAUGUUGAUGUUCAGAAUCUUCUUACAAAGAAAGGGCUGAUGGAAGCUGAUCCUGGGGGUUCAGAAGGCUAUCUGUAAAAAGGCCUUCUCCCUUAGGUAGAAAGUCGGUAUCAGAUUUAUGACAAUUGUCCUUGUGUAGUUAAAGGAAGGUUAUUUGGAGAUGCCAUAAUGGCCAUAAACUUUCUAAUACCUUCUGUGGAUUCACGAACUAAGUCAUCGCAUGCAAUGUAUCCCCUGAAGAUUUAGUGAAUGCUUGGCUCAAAUGAAGCCUUGAUUUUAUAAA